AAGUUGUAGAUGUCUAUGAGCUCCAGU
rnacentral:sRNA from 1 species